rnacentral:rRNA from 1 species
AAUAUUUCACAAAGGAGGGAACUCCGAUGCAGCAACGCCGCGUGAGAGAAGAAGGUUUUCGGAACUUAAAACUCUGUCAUUGGGGACGAAUAAAUGACCGUACCCUAUUAAUAAGCCCCGGCUAACUACGUUCCAGCAGCCGCGGUAAUACGUAGGGGGCGAGCGUUUUCCGGAAUUACUGGGGGUAAAGGGUACGUAGGUGGCUAUAUACGUCAAGUGUGAAAUACCAGUGCUUAACACUGAAAUUGCAUUUGAAACUGUGUAGCUUGAGUGCAGGAGAGGAAAGUGGAAUUCCUAGUGUAGCGGUGAAAUGCGUAGAGAUUAGGGGGAACACCAGUGGCGAAGGCGACUUUCUGGACUGUAACUGAGGCUGAGGUACGAAAGCGUGGGUAGCGAACA